AUAAUUUUAUAAAAAGCUAGUCCGUGCCGCCAUUAGUGACAUUGGUGAAGUAUUGCACAACGAUUAAGAAGUACAUCAUAGUUAAGGAAUUGAAGAAAAUAGGCAAAAUGACAGCUCGAGGUUCAAAGAACAUUGCUUCCCUGGUACUUUCCUCUAUAAUUCUUGCCGCAGGUGUGUCUGUGUGUGUUCUGUUAUAUGAAUUAGUGAAACAGAUUGCCGUAGAAGCUGUGAAGGAGAUGCGCCAUAGUGACCAAGAUAAUGAAUACUCUUCUUUGAAUUCGGAUCAGGUCACAAGCAAAGCAUUCAAUGUUGCGGGACCAUUUUGGCUUCUUGGAUUCGGCUUCAUUCUUCCUGGUAUUUCUGGACUCUUUGCUGCCAUCAGAAGAUCAAAAUGCAGUCACAUUGUCCACUUGGUUUUUGGAAUCAAGGCCCUCCUCGUCAUGGGAGUAUUCUUUGUGAUUGGAAUCUUUGCCCUUGGUGCUGUUGCUUCCCACCAUAAAAUGGAUUGUAAGAGCAUGAACAAUAUGUGUAUGUGCAGGACAUCUGAUUAUGAUGAUUACCAGGAAAUUGGACUCCAUGAUUGUAAAAUGAUGUAUACUGCUUAUAACAUUGGCAUGGCGAUUGUCAUCAUCAUUGUGAUUGGAUGGGUCCUGCUUUUGACUGAAACUGUCAUCGCUGGUACCGAAACCUGCAAGCCCAGCUCGGCAUCCAGCCAGGGAGCUGUCAUUGUUCGUGCUCCAGUCCAGACAACAUUUGUACGCUUGGAAGAAAGCGCUGCACCACCGGCUUACAACAUCCACGACAAGGCUGUGCUCGUCAAAAAUUGUUAGAUACUUGCUCCUCGAGUUUUUUUUUUUAAUUUUAAAGGUUUUUUUUGUAAUAGCUCAAUUUAAUCUAGAACUAAUAUUGCCAUGUGUGCUCUGACAAAUGAUCCAUGAAUUUAUAAUACAAUAAUAAAUGUUUGACUCGGAAGAUAAAAUAUGGAUGAGUUAAAAAUAAAUGUCUGAUUGUCACAUUCACAAACUAAAAUUUAUCUAAAAAAAACCCAUAAUAACCCAUCUUUAUAUUGGUGCUUUUUUAUACUCCAACAAAGAUAAACUACCUGGAAAUGAAUGAUCUACCUUGAACUAGAAAAGCAGUUUUAAAACAAGAUUAUUUGUCCGAGCACCACAAAUUACAUGACAAGUUGCUUGAUAGCAUGUUUAAUUCUUUUUGAUAUAUAUAUAUAUAUUUUACCGUGUUUAAUAUAAGCUUGCUUACUGGAUCAUGUCUUGGCUGACAAUGUCUUCAAAAAUGCCUGAACUCCUCGUACAUGUACUUAUCACACAAAGUGUAUCAUUUAGUUUUCAAAACAUGGCUUUCAAGAGAAAAGUUUUCAAAUUUAAAGUUACAAUUUCAUAUUUUCUAAAAAAAAAAGGUCAAAACAUAAUUAUUUCUAUGUCUUUAGCUCAACAGGUUGUCAACUCACUAUUAUACAAUCAUAGGUUAUCUUUCUCACACAAUUACCUCCCUUGUUUUCCUUUUCCACACGAUGGAAUAGCUAUCUUCAAUUGUUUGAAUUUGAAGUUGAAAAUGAUGUUUUUGUUAAUUUCUCAACUGGCAAUAGUGAAUUUUAGAAUUAAUAGUAUUAUUCUUUAACAAGAUAGGACUGUUUACAGAUAGCAUCGAUUUUAGGGUUUUAUUUUAAUACAUUUUAAAAAUAUAACUUAAAAAUAUGAAAUUGUAACUUUAAAGUUGAGUAGAGAAUUAAUUUGAAAAGAUUUAAAUGUAACAGCCUUUGUUGUAAAUAAGAUAACAAAACACUAAAAAGUGUCUAAACAUUAAUUUUUUUAAUGUAUGUAACCUUAAUCCUUUACUUUCGUACUUAAAAAGUAGCCAUGUUGUCAGUGCGUAAAAUAUAAUUUUUUAAAGGGUGGAUAUGUUUCACCAAAAUUUUUUUUUUUUUUAAAACAAUGAAUCUCCCAAACCCUAAUCACUACUUAACCUAAAUAUUUUUUUAAAAUAAAUAUGUUUCCAAAGAAUAGGUGCUUCUCGCAGUUCCCUAAUCCUCCAUCCAACGAAAUCAUCAGAUUAGUCAAAUUGUUUUGAUUUGCAAUAAGCAACAUCAUCAAAUAUUACUAUAAAGAUGAUUGCAUGUAAUGUGGUGUUAACUGCUAGAAUAUCUUGAUUGAUGUGAGAGGCUAGGGUAAUUACAAUGAAAAAUUUUAUUUGGACAUAUAAAUGCAUUGCUACUUUUAUAUUUAAUGUUAUUUAGUGCUCUUUACAGGGAAGCUAACGGUGUUCAUACUGGAGUUUUUGUUUCCGUUCCAAUUUAUUUUUAUUCUAUUGCUUAUGGAUCAGGGUUUUCUGGAAUUUAAUGACAAAGGUGUUAAUUUUUAUUUAGUCCCUUCUAGGUGAUAAUUUAUAGUUUACAUGUUGCCCAUCCGAAUUUCUCAUCUUGCACCUUUUUGGAAUCUUCCAAUUUAUCAUCUUGCCAUUUAAGGAAUCGUACUAUUUUUAAAGAUUUUGUUUUUAAAACAGAUAUUUGUAGUUCUGUAUAUUAUGAGAUUACAUGAUAUUUAACUCUUGAAAAGAAUUGAAAAUAUUUUACUAUUUGAAACCUAUGCAUAUUUUUGAAACUUUAUUAUGCUUGCUGUAAUAUUUUGAGGUAAAUAAACAUUUGAAUUUU